GAUAAACGCUAGCGACAGGCCUAACACAUGUAAGUCGAGGGGCAGCACAUGAGUAGCAAUACGAUGGUGGCGACCGGCGCACGGGUGAGUAACACGUAUGCAACCUACCUAUAAGAGGGGAAUAACCCGGAGAAAUUCGGACUAACACCGCAUAAUACUGAAUAUUCGCAUGGAUUUCAGUUAAAUAUUAAUAGCUUAUGGAUGGGCAUGCGUAUGAUUAGAUAGUUGGUAGGGUAACGGCCUACCAAGUCAACGAUCAUUAGGGGUUCUGAGAGGAAGGUCCCCCACAUUGGAACUGAGACACGGUCCAAACUCCUACGGGAGGCAGCAGUGAGGAAUAUUGGUCAAUGGGCGAGAGCCUGAACCAGCCAUGUCGCGUGAAGGAAGAAUGUCCUAUGGAUGUAAACUCUUUUAUACAGGAAUAAAAGUGUACUACGUGUAGUAUUUUGUAUGUACGUAUGAAUAAGGAUGGCUAAUCCGUCCAGC
rnacentral:rRNA from 1 species